GACGAACCUUGCUAACGUUAUUCGGAAUUACUGGGCUUAAAGGGUGCGUAGGCGGUGCGGAAAGUUGGGUGUGAAAGCCCUCGGCUCAACCGAGGAAUUGCGCCCAAAACUGCCGCACUAGAGGAAGACAGAGGUACGCGGAACUUAGGGUGGAGCGGUGAAAUGCGUUGAUAUCCUAAGGAACACCGGUGGCGAAAGCGGCGUACUGGGUCUUAUCUGACGCUGAGGCACGAAAGCUAGGGGAGCGAACCGGGAGUUAG
rnacentral:rRNA from 1 species